rnacentral:misc_RNA from 1 species
UCUCCGUUGGUGAACCAGCGGAGGGAUCAUUACCGAGUUUACAACUCCCAAACCCACUGUGAACCCUACCUCUCGUUGCUUCGGCGGGGACGCCCCGGCUCUGCCCGGACCCAGGCGCCCGCCGGAGACCGCAAACCCUCUUGUUUCCAGCAGCGCCCCCCCGCGGGCGGUAUUCUGAGUGAAAACGCAAAAUAAAAUCAAAACUUUCAACAACGGAUCUCUUGGCUCUGGCAUCGAUGAAGAACGCAGC